rnacentral:misc_RNA from 1 species
AUUCAGAGAUGCUCCUUAAAUAGAAAGGAGAGAGAGAGAGAAAAAAAAAGCAAGGAGAAGCAAAGGCAGUGUCGAAAGCUCACAAGGCCGAGCAUCUCAAGACCCCGAAGAAAAGGAAUCACAAUCCAGACCACCACCGCAAUGCAAUGCAAAGCAAAUCUGAACUUGCAGAGGGUGCAAAAGGUUUCAGCAGUACCUGAUGAGUUUGCGACCGGAACCAGGAGCAGCAGCUCGACUGCGGCAGCUGCAGCCGUCCGUCUCCAGCCUCCUUGGCCUGCAGUGCAGCCUGCCUGGACGUCACAAGCGAGGCUCCAAAACCCAGCAAGCAUCAGCUUUAGGCCACUUAAAGGCGGCCAUUAUUUGCAGAUUAAGCUUUGUGAAGGCCCCCCCA